UAGGGAAUCUUCCGCAAUGGACGCAAGUCUGACGGAGCAACGCCGCGUGAGUGAAGAAGGAUUUCGGUUCGUAAAACUCUGUUGUUAGAGAAGAACAGCGCAUAGAGUAACUGUUAUGCGUGUGACGGUAUCUAACCAGAAAGCCACGGCUAACUACGUGCCAGCAGCCGCGGUAAUACGUAGGUGGCAAGCGUUGUCCGGAUGUAUUGGGCGUAAAGCGAGCGCAGGCGGUCAAUUAAGUCUGAUGUGAAAGCCCACGGCUAAACCGUGGAGGGUCAUUGGAAACUGGAAAGCGUGAGUGCAGAAGAGGAAAGUGGAAUUCCAUGUGUAGCGGUGAAAUGCGCAGAGAUAUGGAGGAACACCAGUGGCGAAGGCGACUUUCUGGUCUGUAACUGACGCUGAUGUGCGAAAGCGUGGGGAUCAAACAGG
rnacentral:rRNA from 1 species